ensembl:lncRNA
GACCCACACCUGAAGAAUUUUAGCCGCGGAAAGACUUUUCUUGUCUGAAAUUCUGUCUUGUUGUUGACGUUCAGACUUUAAGUAUUUUUCUGGCUUUGUGUUGGAAGUUGUGGGGGGGGGGUCAUCUCCCAGUAUUACCAUGACAUACACACACACGCACGCACACUCGUGUGAGGGUAUAUAUAUAUAUGAGCGUGUGUGUGUGUGUAGUUUUGUUUCAGGGAUCCUGAAUAUUAAAGGUGGAGACGACAAUGAUUCCAUUAAUAUUCAUCAUUCUAUUUUUUUUAAUUAAAUCAUUUCCAUUGUUUGUUUACAAUUGUUUACCCCUCGUGUUGUGUAGAAAGCUUCUCGGCUGUUUACCCCCCUCAAUGUGCACGUCAACAAUUCAGCUCCUUAGUUGGUCAGUCAGACUGAAGACACUUGUGAGACGUUGAGAUGUUUGACUGAAGGAAGCAGAAGAACAUGUGCACCAAGUGAAGUCCACACUGAAGAGGAGGAGCUUUUCUUCCUCACUCGACGGGAGCUGAAGGAGUAUCAGGGUCUCUGGGGGAGGGGGGCUGAUUAUCAGACACCAGUUCAGCCCAAAAUGAAAAGUCCACAUUAUCUGCCUGUUUGUGCUGUUUAUCAAUAGAUUUUGUCUCCGUGGAUCCAAGUGCUUGAGAAGUCGGGGGGGACGAUUCCACCAGGUGUAUUUUAUUGAGGACGAACUGUCAGAAUGAAUUCUGGGUACAAAGAGUUUGAGCCUCUGGCCUUGAGGUCAAUCAGUUUUGGUUCUCAUCUUUUCUUCAGUGUUUGGUCAAAAUAAUGGAAACGUGUCAUUUUUGAGAUGCUUUGUGUUUUAUUUUACUUAUUGAGGUUGACAUUAUUUUUGGGAUGAAAGCGGAAAGUUUAAGUGUUACAAAGAAACUUGAUGCUUGAGUCUCUUGUUUUUGUGUUGUUUCCUUUAACAACUUGAUCUACUGUUAUUCACCAUUUUGUGUGUGUGCGUGCGUGUGUGUGCGUGUGGCGCUGUGACCUCUCAGCUGAGUGAUGCGCUGCCUUGUUGACGGACUGAGAACCAAUAAACACUCAAAGCCCUUUUUUACAACACGCGGCGCCUCCUGCUCGUUCAUCCGUCAGUCAGGGUUUAAUUCUAUUUAAAUAGGAUCACUUCCAUCUUUGUUGUCAGGCUUCAUCGAUUUUAUCACAAAAUAUCCCCCGGAAAUGUAGAUUCUUUAAUUUGACUUUAGAAGCUUUAUUUCACGAGUCUGCAGAGUUUAUUGUAAUUGAAGUUAAUGAAACCUCAGCUCUAAGUACAUUUAUUUAAGUAAAACUUAAGGUACUUUUACUUUACUUGAGUAGGUCAUUUUACUCUGUACAUUUCCUAAACCAGUUCCUUUUAAUAUGUACUAAACUGAUUUAAAUAAUAUAAAUUCACUGAUUUAAUUUCAUAUUAUACUUCAGUAAUUUAGCUUUCAGUUUUAUAUUAAAAUGUUCAUAUUAACUCUAUUUCUAAUCCAGUGGUACUUUUACUUCAUGAAUUGAGCCAUCUACACCUCAAGGACAGUGUGGAUUAUGACAUAAAUAUACACACGUUACCAUGAAAAAUGGUAACGUGAGGUGUUGCAACAAAUUCAGCGUUACAUGGAUUCCAAUAACUGGCUCAGUCGGACUGAAGUCCAAUGAUCCGUUUCAUGUAAACACCUUUGUCCGACUACGAUCCGACUAACACGCCUGGAUAACUCCAUCCGAUCCGGUUGGUAGUUCGAUUAUUGCGGCAUGUGACGGUGAAUCGGAUGAGGAACUGGACUUUGCGUCUUUGCGGAUGCUUGAGAUCCCGAC